UACAGAGGUCCCAAGCGUUGUUCGGAUUCACUGGGCGUAAAGGGCGCGUAGGCGGCCACCGCAAGUCAGUUGUGAAAUCUCUGGGCUUAACCCAGAAAGGUCAACUGAUACUGCGGGGCUAGAGUGCAGAAGGGGCAACUGGAAUUCUCGGUGUAGCGGUGAAAUGCGUAGAUAUCGAGAGGAACACCUGCGGCGAAGGCGGGUUGCUGGGCUGACACUGACGCUGAGGCGCGAAAGCUAGGGGAGCGAACGGG
rnacentral:rRNA from 1 species